UACGAAGGGGGCUAGCGUUGUUCGGAAUUACUGGGCGUAAAGCGCGCGCAGGCGGCUAUCCAAGUCAGUGGUGAAAGCCCGAGGCUCAACCUCGGAACUGCCUUCGAUACUGCGGGUCUCGAGUCCGGGAGAGGUGAGUGGAAUUCCUAGUGUAGAGGUGAAAUUCGUAGAUAUUAGGAAGAACACCAGUGGCGAAGGCGGCUCACUGGCCCGGUACUGACGCUGAGGCGCGAAAGCGUGGGGAGCAAACAGG
rnacentral:rRNA from 1 species